GACGAACGCUGGCGGCGUGCCUAAUACAUGCAAGUAGAACGCUGAAGGAGGAGCUUGCUUCUCUGGAUGAGUUGCGAACGGGUGAGUAACGCGUAGGUAACCUGCCUGGUAGCGGGGGAUAACUAUUGGAAACGAUAGCUAAUACCGCAUAAGAGUAGAUGUUGCAUGACAUUUACUUAAAAGGUGCAAUUGCAUCACUACCAGAUGGACCUGCGUUGUAUUAGCUAGUUGGUGAGGUAACGGCUCACCAAGGCAACGAUACAUAGCCGACCUGAGAGGGUGAUCGGCCACACUGGGACUGAGACACGGCCCAGACUCCUACGGGAGGCAGCAGUAGGGAACCUUCGGCAAUGGACGGAAGUCUGACCGAGCAACGCCGCGUGAGUGAAGAAGGUUUUCGGAUCGUAAAGCUCUGUUGUAAGAGAAGAACGAGUGUGAGGGUGGAAAGUUCACACUGUGACGGUAUCUUACCAGAAAGGGACGGCUAACUACGUG
rnacentral:rRNA from 1 species